rnacentral:rRNA from 1 species
CCUACGUGAGGCAGCAGUGAGGAAUAUUGGUCAAUGGGCGCGAGCCUGAACCAGCCAAGUAGCGUGAAGGAUGACUGCCCUACGGGUUGUAAACUUCUUUUAUAAAGGAAUAAAGUGAGGCACGUGUGCCUUUUUGUCUGUACUUUAUGAAUAAGGAUCGGCUAACUCCGUGCCAGCAGCCGCGGUAAUACGGAGGAUCCGAGCGUUGUCCGGAAUCCUUGGGCGUAAAGAGUUCGUAGGUGGCACGUUAAGGUUGGUGUUAAAUGCAGAGGCUCAACCUCUGUUCGGCACUGGAUACUGGCGAGCUUGAAUGCGGUAGAGGUAAAGGGAAUUCCUGGUGGAGCGGUGAAAUGCGGAGAUAUCAGGAGGAACAUCAGUGGCGUAAGCGCUUUACUGGGCCGUAAUUGACACUGAGGAACGAAAGCCAGGGUAGCAAAUGGGAUUAGAUACCCGGGUAGUC